CUUGCAUAAAGUAGUUUCAUGUUGCAAAGUCUGUGCAGGACAUCGUGGGCAGUAACCGCGCCAGCCAGUCCUGAACACAAGACGAGGCGGAGACAUCACGUGAUCUUUGCACAUCUCAUCACACACAUAUGUAUAUACAUUUAACAUUUAUCAGCUUUUGGCUCUGUCAGACACAGGACGGUCUAAAUCUGGAAAGGAACAUCUUUUUAUACAUCAAGUGUCCUAAACAGAUUCAAAAUGUCCAUCUUUCUCUGGAUGCUUUUUCCUUUCACUACUGGUCUGGAGAAUGUGGCUCUCAAUAAACCCGCGCAGCAAGUGUCGGUGUAUGUAGCAGCCAGCAAGGCAGUGGACGGGAACACAGAUGGCGUGUUUGCUAAUGGCUCGUGCACGCACACGCGGACCCCAGUAGAGGACGUCACUUGGUGGAAGGUCGACCUGAUGGGAAAUUUUCACUCGGACCGACUGCUGUGGCAGCAGGCUUAAGAACUUUCAAGUCCGAGUGUCACUGACAAAUCCAGUGACGUCCCCUUUCAAUGAAGGUCAGCAGUGCUUCAAUCGUACUGAUUCAGUUCCCAACUCGGGAAUCAAAGUGAACUGCACUCAGCCAAUCAUAGGCCGCUACGUCAGCUUGUUGAAAUAUAACCUCGAGGUUUUGACCAUUUGUGAAUUUCGUGUGUUUGCGGACAAAGCAGUCGGUGGGAUCGGAUGUUUACAAACUUCUGCACAUUUGACAUCUGCUGCUGCGAACUCAAUCACGACAUGUGUUUAUUCGCUGUUUAUGGACAACUCUCGAGCUGUCGGAAAAGCUUAUAAAUCGUUUGAAGCCGUUUCUGCCGCCAGAUGCUCAGUGAAGUGUGCGCAGACCGACAACUGCUUCGCCUUCAACUUCAAGACGUCACGUGACGCAGCCAACAACAGUGUGACGUGUGAGCUGCUGCUGGGGUUCAGUGCGUUUGUCCCAUUCGACGAGCUCAGAGUAAUUCAACAAAGUGGAUGGAAAGUGCUUGCGCUCAAGUGUCUGUAAUAUAAGUCUCGCAGUUUUCCGGUAUGUCCAGAUGUUUGUGGUUUGCUUUCAAUGGAGAUGAUUUGCGACAGUUUCUUCCUGACAUUGAUGAAGUUUAGUAGUUUGAGAAUAGUAAGAGAGAAGACCCAUGGAAAUAUUUUGGUCUUGUGUUGUGAAAAGUUUUAGUUUUUUCGUCUGACAGAAUCGCUUUGUUCACAUCGUAGACCAAUGUAUUGCGGCGGCACGCUAAGUUCUACUAUAUGUAUAUAUCUUACAUACACCGCCUCUUCGGACUACAUACACUCGAUACUAGCUCAAAGAGGAUCUGUCUAGAAGGUAAUGAAAAAAUAAAGUAUAGCAUUAUUAAAGAAAGAUAUCACGUUUAAUUGAUCAAUAUAUUUAUAAAUGACUCCCCAAAAGACAUAAUCUAAUAAAGAUAAUGAGGAUGAUAAUGAUACAAACCAAGAAGUGCACGGUACAUGUAUAAAUUAUUAAAAGAAGUGUAGAAGUGGUUGUCUCUCCUAACUGAAUGGAGGAGGCUGAGCUCUGUUGUAUUUUUGUCUUAUCUGAUGUCUUCCUCGUGAUUGUGAAUGUUUUUUGACGGUCCUGCCAUCGUGGGUGUGGAAUGUGGAGCCUCUUCGUUUCGUUGGCUACAGUUACUUUUCGACAUGUAGAUGACAAACGGUUUAGUGAUCUUCAUGUCCGUUUGACCUUUGUUGAUCAGUGACCUUUUGCGUGAGCUGGGACUCAUUCGUCGUUACAGUGGAACUGGUGCCGUCUGCUGGAUGUUAUAUUUAGAACUGUGUUUACUAUGGAGUGUACUCCGACAUGUUUGAUGUGUGUCCUGGGGACUGUAUUCUUGUUGUGUGUAGACGCUGACCUUUGGCCUGGAGUACCGUCAUUUUGUUGUGACGUCUAUUUAUUUUCACGUCAUACCAUCUGUCAUUAGUGAAGCAUUCAAAGGGGAGAUAAUGCUCUAUACAAGCCCAUUGUUGUUAAUUUUUCUAGACCAAUAUUUACCGAAAAGCAAGUUUUAUUGUCAGCUCCCUCGUCCUCCUAUUUUUUUUUAUGUACGACUGGUGGAUUUUAAUUUUCGUGGACAAUUAUUAAUUACUCAGCAAAGUUAACAAAUCAUUUUGAGCUUUUUCCACCGCCACAUGCUAACCUGCUUUCUUUCAUGACGUCAGCUGCGACGUCAGAUGACAGUGACUAUGUGUUCCUGUACCCUCUACACCUUUGACCCCUUUAGCGAGGUCAACAUCAUUUUACCAAAUUCGAGACCAAUGUUUUUGAUGAGGAGAUUCAAAUCUUGGCUAUUUUCUAGAAUGAUCAUCUCUUACAGUUUGUUGUGUGGAACAUAAAUUAAUCUAAGACCUUUGUUUACUGUGUGGCUGUGACAUAGUGCAAAAAACCAUGAAAUAUUAGAGCGUCCUUCUUGUUUUGGCUCUUGCUGUCACUCUUUCUUUGUCCUGUCACCUAAUACACAUGUCGUCGUCCACACUGACUGGGAACUUCCCAACCAAAUUCACACUAGUGAGAGGGGACCAGCUGGAAGGCGAACUCCCAACAGAUCACCCAGUGAGUGGUAACCAACAGCUGGAAGUUUUCACACUGACCGGCUUUUAUUAUGCUCUGAAAACCCAGUCCGAUCGAGAGGUUGAUUUCUGUUGGGUCAAUAUGGUGGACUACGCCAUUCUUCUGCACUUUAAAGAACCUAUAUAUCUAUAAAAUAAUCACUCAUUAUCACUCAGA